rnacentral:lncRNA from 1 species
UUUCUUUGGAUUAUUUCAUAUAAGUAUAGAAUGAUGCCAUCAUGUAUACAUCUAUGAUCUAUGUUUUCAUGGUCCUUGUAUUAUAAAUCAAUCCUCUUCUACUCUACAGUCUAAACCAUUAUAUUACUAAGGGGUUGUGAUCUUGCACCGUGCUAUUACAAGGCAUCGAUGACAAUUCGCACAAAUUUGUGUGUACAAUAGAAGCCAAUAAUGCAGGCGAGACAAAAUAAUAUGUAUAGUUCGAUAGCAUAUAUGAGCGUUUACAAGGUUAUGGGCGUGGAACAUACGUGCAUUCAGUUUCGGACUUGAGACAAGGACAUGGAUAGCCCUAACAACAAAUGGAUUGAUUGAAGAAGAGCAUACAAGUUAACUUCAUUCAUUGAUUUUUUUCUUUACUUUUGGUUAGAAUAUGUGAAGGAGAUGAUGUGGAUACCUUGUACCACAUAUUCAAUUCCAAAGGAUAAGGACAGAAAUAAAGACGAUGGUAAAGAGAUCAACAUGCCAUCCAAUGUAGAUAAAGAGAGCAAUUCAUACCACCACCACCUUAUCCCUCUAUCAUCAUCCUUUGCCUUUCAUCCAUUGCAUGGGCAAAACUCACCCAUGCAACCAAAUAUUAUUUACAAAGGUAAUUAUGUCAUCAAAAAUCCUAUAUUCGCCAACACGAAAACUGAACGACAAAUAUACACAUUGUCGGUAUGGGAUUUGUUCCCCGAAAUUUGUUAACAAGUUAAAUCGUAACGAUCAACUUCUAGGAUAAUUACGUUAGUUAACAAAAUUUACUAAACUAGAAGAAAAUUGACUAUAGUAACUAAAGAAUGUUUGACCCUCUUUAUUUGGUUAAAAAAUAUGAACCAGAACUGGACCAACAAAACUUUUUUCAAAAUUCAAAAAGAAAAUGCUUCUAGAUAGUUCAUCCCGAGGGGUCAUUUUCUAUUCCUGGAGGCCACAUAUUGACAUUCAUGGUAAAGAUAUCAUGAUUAAUCUCACACCUAUCAUGUAUACAUCCUCCAUCCAUGACCAUUCAUCCAUGAUCAUCAUCACUUAACUAAUAUAUGCCUGCCUAGAUCUAGUGAGGUGUAUGAACUUGCAUUAUUGUUAUUAUCAUUAUUUGGUUGGAAUGUUAAAACCAGAUUAUCACUUGAAACAGAAUCCAUCUGUGGUAUGUAUAUAUGUUGUUUAGAUGUGUAAUAAAUAUUAUUAUAAUCACUUUAAUGAAUCUUUGAAGUGUUUAAAGGAUUAAAAGAUAAAACCAUAAAAAAUGAAAUCAAUGUAAAAUAAGAAUAUAUACGUCACAAAUUAUGCUAAAUUUUUUGUACAUUAAUUAUAUGUUAGUUAAUUUAUUGUAACCCUAUUUUCACAUGAAAUCACUACUAAAAAAGGAUAUGUUAUUUCGAAUAUAGUUCAAUUCUAAAAGUGAACCAGUUUUAAAGUCUUUUUCUAAAAAGCAUCUAUUGCACAUGAUAUAUAGGGUAAAAAGGACCGGGGUAUAAUAUCCUCAAAGGUGCAACAAAAAAUUAAAAUUUAAUAAUUAUCGUACUUUAAACAUGCUUCAAGUGGUAUUUGUGUUUCGAGUUUUUAUCUUGUUAUAUGCAGCCGUUAAAAAAAAAUGUUUCAAUUAAUUUCUUAAUAUUGUUUGGAAAUAUGUACGAGUAUCUUUGAAAACUGAUAUACUUCGUCUCCACUUAUUUUUUAUUAGAGCACCCAUAAUCUACAAACCUUCAGAACCAAAACAAAUUGUCACCUCAGCAUCAUAUUAGAUUUACAAACCUCAACAAACUCUACAUCAUCACCUACUUUUACCACAUCAGACACACAUUGUUGGUAGUAGGGUCCCACUCAAGAAAUCCGUUGGAGGUCCGGACUGUCGGACAUGACAAUAACUGAACAAGGGCUACUAUGUAACUGGACGAGGGAUAAGGUACGCGGACUAGUACACGUGAGAACCGGACGAGUAAAAUGCCCACAUUGUGGGUGCUCUUAAAAAGGUUUAGCACUCAUUUAACCAUACUUUAUGUAGCUUAUGAUAUGUUUAACUUCGAUUGGCUAGCUUAGAGGUUGUUUAGAUCUAUAGAAAUCCAUGUUAAUAUAACAUUAAAGACACAUGUUUGCAACAACGGUCAUGAUGUGUUAGUGUGUGACAUAUACAUAAUACACAUAUGCAAGAUACCCGUGGCGACCAGUAAAGGCAUGGGCCCGAACCUUUUUUAAU